AGUUUCCGUACCAAGACGACCCUGCAGGACGGGGGUAACCAUUUUGCAGCUAAUAUCGUGCGAUUUCGGUGUUUUGCCACAAUAUCCUUAACACUAAUUCGUAAUGGAUAACUUCUUUAGAAAGAGGAGUGACAUAUAUCAAAUUUAGUUAUUUAGUGUGUUAGACAGAGAUGUGGGUAGACACAUAAUUCAAAUGCGACUUUUGAAAAUUUUCCGUCAUUUACUUUUUCAUUUGAAGACGCUAAGAGAUUGACUGAAUAAUUUGGCAACAGUAGCCGAACUCAAACAGCGAAAAAACAUCAAAUGAGGUCGAUUGAACGUAUUCCUGUAUCGGAAUUCAAAUAACGAAAUAAGGGCCACCACAUUACCACAUCUGAACUGAUUGAUCAACAAUGUAUUCAAGAAACCCUUCAGCAGAUAGCCAAAGUGAGCUUUGCAGCAAAUAUAAAGGCUCGACAUGUGGACAAAAUGUAUCCUGAAGGAAUAAAGAUGUCACCAGGAAAUAUUUGAAAUAUGCUGGAAUUACAAAGCUUAAAGGAUUGAUUUAUUGUUUUAUAUGCUUUAGCAUAUAUUUAUAUAUUUAAAAUCACAGAUCUCGAUGUGCUUAUGUUUAAAAUGAAUUGAUUUUGUUUUA
rnacentral:lncRNA from 1 species